rnacentral:rRNA from 1 species
GCGGAAGUUUUCGGAUGGAAGCAAUAAACCUUAGCGGCGGACGGGUGAGUAACGCGUGGGUAACCUGCCUCAUACAGGGGGAUAACAGUUAGAAAUGACUGCUAAAACCGCAUAAGCGCACAUUGUCGAGUGACAGAGUGUGAAAAACUCCGGUGGUAUGAGAUGGACCCGCGUCUGAUUAGCUAGUUGGUGAGGUAACGGCCCACCAAGGCGACGAUCAGUAGCCGGCCUGAGAGGGCGACCGGCCACAUUGGGACUGAGACACGGCCCAAACUCCUACGGGAGGCAGCAGUGGGGAAUAUUGCACAAUGGGGGAAACCCUGAUGCAGCGACGCCGCGUGAGUGAAGAAGUAUUUCGGUAUGUAAAGCUCUAUCAGCAGGGAAGAAGAAAGACGGUACCUGACUAAGAAGCCCCGGCUAACUACGUGCCAGCAGCCGCGGUAAUACGUAGGGGGCAAGCGUUAUCCGGAUUUACUGGGUGUAAAGGGAGCGUAGACGGCUGUGCAAGUCUGAAGUGAAAGCCCAGGGCUCAACCCUGGGACUGCUUUGGAAACUGUGGAGCUAGAGUGCUGGAGAGGUAAGUGGAAUUCCUAGUGUAGCGGUGAAAUGCGUAGAUAUUAGGAGGAACACCAGUGGCGAAGGCGGCUUACUGGACAGUAACUGACGUUGAGGCUCGAAAGCGUGGGGAGCAAACAGGAUUAGAUACCCUGGUAGUCCACGCG